rnacentral:rRNA from 1 species
GACGAACGCUGGCGGCGUGCUUAACACAUGCAAGUCGAACGGAAAGGCCCUGCUUUUGUGGGGUGCUCGAGUGGCGAACGGGUGAGUAACACGUGAGUAACCUGCCCUUGACUUUGGGAUAACUUCAGGAAACUGGGGCUAAUACCGGAUAGGAGCUCCUGCUGCAUGGUGGGGGUUGGAAAGUUUCGGCGGUUGGGGAUGGACUCGCGGCUUAUCAGCUUGUUGGUGGGGUAGUGGCUUACCAAGGCUUUGACGGGUAGCCGGCCUGAGAGGGUGACCGGCCACAUUGGGACUGAGAUACGGCCCAGACUCCUACGGGGGGCAGCAGUGGGGAAUAUUGCACAAUGGGCGGGAGCCUGAUGCAGCAACGCCGCGUGCGGGAUGACGGCCUUCGGGUUGAAACCGCUUUCGCCUGUGACGAAGCGUGAGUGACGGUAAUGGGUAAAGAAGCACCGGCUAACUACAU